UGAUAUGAACCGUUACAGCCGGCGAUGUCCGAAUGGGGAAACCCAGUGCAAUUCGUUGCACUAUCGUUAACUGAAUACAUAGGUUAACGAGGCGAACCGGGGGAACUGAAACAUCUAAGUACCCCGAGGAAAAGAAAUCAACCGAGAUUCCCCCAGUAGCGGCGAGCGAACGGGGAGCAGCCCAGAGUCUGAAUCAGCUUGUGUGUUAGUGGAACGGUCUGGAAAGUCCGACGGUACAGGGUGAUAGUCCCGUACACCAAAAUGCACAGGUUGUGAACUCGAAGAGUAGGGCGGGACACGUGGUAUCCUGUCUGAAUAUGGGGGGACCAUCCUCCAAGGCUAAAUACUCCUGACUGACCGAUAGUGAACCAGUACCGUGAGGGAAAGGCGAAAAGAACCCCGGCGAGGGGAGUGAAAAAGAACCUGAAACCGUGUACGUACAAGCAGUGGGAGCACCUUCGGGUGUGACUGCGUACCUUUUGUAUAAUGGGUCAGCGACUUAUAUUCUGUAGCAAGGUUAACCGUAUAGGGGAGCCGCAGGGAAACCGAGUCUUAACUGGGCGUUAAGUUGCAGGGUAUAGACCCGAAACCCGGUGAUCUAGCCAUGGGCAGGUUGAAGGUUGGGUAACACUAACUGGAGGACCGAACCGACUAAUGUUGAAAAAUUAGCGGAUGACUUGUGGCUGGGGGUGAAAGGCCAAUCAAACCGGGAGAUAGCUGGUUCUCCCCGAAAGCUAUUUAGGUAGCGCCUCGUGAACUCAUCUUCGGGGGUAGAGCACUGUUUCGGCUAGGGGGUCAUCCCGACUUACCAACCCGAUGCAAACUACGAAUACCGAAGAAUGUUAUCACGGGAGACACACGGCGGGUGCUAACGUCCGUCGUGAAGAGGGAAACAACCCAGACCGCCAGCUAAGGUCCCAAAGUCACAGUUAAGUGGGAAACGAUGUGGGAAGGCACAGACAGCCAGGAUGUUGGCUUAGAAGCAGCCAUCAUUUAAAGAAAGCGUAAUAGCUCACUGGUCGAGUCGGCCUGCGCGGAAGAUGUAACGGGGCUAAACUGUGCACCGAAGCUGCGGCAGCGACACUAUGUGUUGUUGGGUAGGGGAGCGUUCUGUAAGCCUGCGAAGGUGGCCUGUGAGGGUUGCUGGAGGUAUCAGAAGUGCGAAUGCUGACAUAAGUAACGAUAAUGCGGGUGAAAAGCCCGCACGCCGGAAGACCAAGGGUUCCUGUCCAACGUUAAUCGGGGCAGGGUGAGUCGACCCCUAAGGCGAGGCCGAAAGGCGUAGUCGAUGGGAAACAGGUUAAUAUUCCUGUACUUGGUGUUACUGCGAAGGGGGGACGGAGAAGGCUAUGUUAGCCGGGCGACGGUUGUCCCGGUUUAAGCAUGUAGGCGGAGGUUCCAGGUAAAUCCGGUACCUUUUAACGCUGAGGUGUGAUGACGAGGCACUACGGUGCUGAAGUAACAAAUGCCCUGCUUCCAGGAAAAGCCUCUAAGCAUCAGGUAACAUUAAAUCGUACCCCAAACCGACACAGGUGGUCAGGUAGAGAAUACCAAGGCGCUUGAGAGAACUCGGGUGAAGGAACUAGGCAAAAUGGUGCCGUAACUUCGGGAGAAGGCACGCUGAUAUGUAGGUGAAGCCCCUGCGGGUGGAGCUGAAAUCAGUCGAAGAUACCAGCUGGCUGCAACUGUUUAUUAAAAACACAGCACUGUGCAAACACGAAAGUGGACGUAUACGGUGUGACGCCUGCCCGGUGCCGGAAGGUUAAUUGAUGGGGUUAUCCGUAAGGAGAAGCUCUUGAUCGAAGCCCCGGUAAACGGCGGCCGUAACUAUAACGGUCCUAAGGUAGCGAAAUUCCUUGUCGGGUAAGUUCCGACCUGCACGAAUGGCGUAAUGAUGGCCAGGCUGUCUCCACCCGAGACUCAGUGAAAUUGAACUCGCUGUGAAGAUGCAGUGUACCCGCGGCAAGACGGAAAGACCCCGUGAACCUUUACUAUAGCUUGACACUGAACAUUGAGCCUUGAUGUGUAGGAUAGGUGGGAGGCUUUGAAGCGUGGACGCCAGUCUGCGUGGAGCCAACCUUGAAAUACCACCCUUUAAUGUUUGAUGUUCUAACGUUGGCCCCUGACCGGGGUUGCGGACAGUGUCUGGUGGGUAGUUUGACUGGGGCGGUCUCCUCCCAAAGAGUAACGGAGGAGCACGAAGGUUAGCUAAUCCUGGUCGGACAUCAGGAGGUUAGUGCAAUGGCAUAAGCUAGCUUGACUGCGAGCGUGACGGCGCGAGCAGGUGCGAAAGCAGGUCAUAGUGAUCCGGUGGUUCUGAAUGGAAGGGCCAUCGCUCAACGGAUAAAAGGUACUCCGGGGAUAACAGGCUGAUACCGCCCAAGAGUUCAUAUCGACGGCGGUGUUUGGCACCUCGAUGUCGGCUCAUCACAUCCUGGGGCUGAAGUAGGUCCCAAGGGUAUGGCUGUUCGCCAUUUAAAGUGGUACGCGAGCUGGGUUUAGAACGUCGUGAGACAGUUCGGUCCCUAUCUGCCGUGGGCGCUGGAGAAUUGAGGGGGGCUGCUCCUAGUACGAGAGGACCGGAGUGGACGCAUCACUGGUGUUCGGGUUGUCAUGCCAAUGGCAUUGCCCGGUAGCUAAAUGCGGAAGAGAUAAGUGCUGAAAGCAUCUAAGCACGAAACUUGC
rnacentral:rRNA from 1 species